GAUGAAGAACGUAGCGAAAUGCGAUAAAUAAUGUGAAUUGCAGAAUUCAGUGAAUCAUCGAAUCUUUGAACGCACAUUGCGCCCGCCAGUAUUCUGGCGGGCAUGCCUGUUCGAGCGUCAUUUCAACCAUCAAGCCCCCGGCUUGUGUUGGGGACCUGCGGCUGCCGCAGGCCCUGAAAACCAGUGGCGGGCUCGCUGUCACACCGAGCGUAGUAGAUUUUCAUCUCGCUCAGGGCGUGCUGCGGGUUCCGGCCGUAAAAAGCCUUAUUUACCCAAGGUUGACCUCGGAUCAGGUAGGAAGACCCGCUGAACUUAAGCAUAUCAAUAAGCGGAGGA
rnacentral:misc_RNA from 1 species